GAUAAACAGUGGACCAGACCUAGAAGUCAAUGAUAGUCCCUUAGCCCUGUCUAGAUUAGUCUCAAGUUUGAGACUAACCUAGACAGCUUAAUGAGAUGCUGUCUCAAAAUAAAAAGGUCUGGGGAUGUAGCUCAGUGGUAGAAUGGAUUAUGUAAAGUCAGUUGUGCAAGCAUGGCUGAAUGAGACCUUCCUUUGAAAGACGUUUAUAGAUUUUCCUAUGAGUUAUGUUCUUCCUUAGCACUAUUGUCUCUUCACAUUGGCCAGAGAUAUUUUCAUCUCAGGCUGAAAAAGCACAAUAGGAAAAGAACAAUAUACAAGAGGGCCGGAGAGUCCGCAUGCAACCUGUGGGGUUUUGAGUUCUGUGCAUACAGGUGUUUCAUUAAGGGUUGAGCAGGAUAAACUGAUAUGGUCCAUGGUAAAGUACAAGGGUCAGGAGUAGAAGGAAAGCCAGCUUUACUCACUUAACAGAAACUACUCUCCAGGAAGCGAGAUAAAACUUGCACUCCUACCUUUAUUUAAAACCCCUACUCUUUAUGUACUGGUAGACACACACCCUUCUGUAUUUAGGAGGAGGCUGGAGCUUGCUUUAUGCAUGAUUCUCUUCUCUGCCACAUGACUGCUAUUGGUGGAUAACAGUUUGAGGAGUGUCUAAUGAUGGUAAAAUCACAGGUUGUCUUCAGAAACCCAAGUAUAAUCCAUGUAUGUUAUACCUAUAUGUGAAAGCAUACCUGGGUUGGGGUAUAGCUGAUUGGUUCAGUGCUUAUCUAGCACAGUUGGGGCCCUGGGUUUAAUCCCUAGCAUUG
rnacentral:lncRNA from 1 species